CCUACGGGCGGCAGCAGUGGGGAAUAUUGCGCAAUGGGCGAAAGCCUGACGCAGCGACGCCGCGUGAGGGAGGAAGGUAUUCAGAUCGUAAACCUCUGUCAGCCGGGAAGCACGGUCACUGUGCUAAUCAGCAGUGAAUUGACGGUACCUGCAAGGGAAGCACCGGCUAACUCCGGGCCAGCCGCCGCGGUAAUACGGAGGGUGCGAGCGUUAAUCGGAAUUAGUGGGCGUAAAGCGCUCGUAGGCGGUAUGUCAAGUCAAGGGUGAAAUCCCCGCGCUCAACGUGGGAACUGCCUUUGAAACUGGCAAACUGGAGUGUGUGAGAGGAUAGUGGAAUUCCAGGUGUAGGAGUGAAAUCCGUAGAUAUCUGGAGGAACAUCAGUGGCGAAGGCGACUAUCUGGCACAUAACUGACGCUGAGGAGCGAAAGCGUGGGUAGCAAACAGGAUUAGAUACCCUUGUAGUC
rnacentral:rRNA from 1 species